GUCUACGGCCAUGCCACCCUGAAUGUGCCGGAUCUCAUCUGAUCUCGGAAGCUAAGCAGAGUUGAGCCUGGUUAGUACUUGGAUGGGAGACAACCUAGGAAUACUAGGUGCCGUAAGCA
rnacentral:rRNA from 1 species